rnacentral:lncRNA from 1 species
GUAUUUUCCCAUCUGAAUUAUGUUUUUUAGUUUCAUUCUAUCAGCCCGUUGCUGUCUAUGCAAAGAAUGAGGCAAGCAGAAUUUAAAUCGUGGCUUGUGCCAUACUUCCUGUCACUCAAAGCUCUGCAUAGCGGUUCUCAGAGAAAGGCGAUGAAUUUGGCAGUUCCUGGAGACACAACAUGAAUGUUCAGAUUCUGCUUCUUUGGCUGAGUCCAGAUGUAAUCCACUUAAGAGUUUGGGAUCAUGCCUGCCACUCUGAAACAAUAUCUGAGAUGGAUAAGUGAACAUAUUUUGAAUGACACAAAUGGUUCCCAUCUACGGAAAGCAAUGACAGGUGUGAUCAAGAAGAAAUUACAGGACCUGACAGGAGAAAUGGAUUGUGAUGAGCCUUUGGGAGAAGCUUUGGAGAACAUAAGCAGAUGGAGGCUAUUACAGAGAACCACAACUGAUCAAAGUACAGAGAAUAAGUGACUGCGGGAUAUCUAUAUGACACUUAUUGCUGGAGAUAGAGAGCCAGUGCUGAGAUGAGUCAGUAUUAAUAAACUUUACUGAUUAACCCUUCUCCUUAUUUGUUUCCCUCAGAUAGUUCCUAGGCA